GACCUCAGUUCAGACAAGGCUACCCGCCGAAUUUAAGCAUAUUACUAAGCGGAGGAAAAGAAAAUAACAAUGAUUCCCCUAGUAACGGCGAGCGAACCGGGAAGAGCCCAACUUGAAAAUCUGGAGGCUUGUCCUUCCGAAUUGUAGUCUAGAGAAGUGCCAUCUGCGGCUGGCUGGUCGAAAGUUCCCUGGAAAGGGACGUCAGAGAGGGUGAGAGCCCCGUCACGAUCGGUUAAGUCGCUCCACGAUGCGCUUUCGAGGAGUCGGGUUGUUUGGGAAUGCAGCCCUAAGCGGGAGGUAAAUUCCUUCUAAGGCUAAAUAUUGGCGAGAGACCGAUAGCGAACAAGUACCGCGAGGGAAAGAUGAAAAGACCUUUGAAAAGAGAGUUAAAAAGUACCUGAAAUUGUUGAGGGGGAAGCGAUUGAAACCAGCGG
rnacentral:rRNA from 1 species